rnacentral:rRNA from 1 species
CCUACGGGUGGCAGCAGUGGGGAAUAUUGCACAAUGGGGGCAACCCUGAUGCAGCGACGCCGCGUGAGUGAAGAAGUAUUUCGGUAUGUAAAGCUCUAUCAGCAGGGAAGAAAAUGACGGUACUUGAUUAAGAAGCCGCGGCUAACUACGUGCCAGCAGCCACGGUAAUACGUAGGGUGCAAGCGUUAGCCGGAUUUACUGGGUGUAAAGGGAGCGUAGAUGGCAGCACAAGACUGGAGUGAAAUGCCGGGGCUUAACCCCGGAACUGCUUUGGAGACUGUGCAGCUAGAGUGCAGGAGUGGUAAGUGGAAUUCCUAGUGUAGCAGUGAAAUGCGUAGAUAUUAGGAAGAACACCAGUGGCGGAGGCGGCUUACUGGAAUGUAACUGACGUUGAGACUCGAAAGCGUGGGGAGCAAACAGGAUUAGAUACCCUUGUAGUC